GGAGCUGUGGCAGCGGAAAAGCUUUUUGAGCCAAAUCUUAAACGGAAUACAAUACGCUUCCUUGACACGGAAGAGGUCAGAAGUUCAAUUCUUCUACCGUCCACCA
rnacentral:tRNA from 1 species